rnacentral:rRNA from 1 species
UACGUAGGGGGCUAGCGUUGUCCGGAUUUAUUGGGCGUAAAGAGCGUGUAGGCGGCCAGGUAGGUCUGCUGUGAAAACUCGAGGCUCAACCUCGAGACGUCGGCGGAAACCAUCUGGCUAGAGUCCGGAAGAGGAGAGUGGAAUUCCUGGUGUAGCGGUGAAAUGCGCAGAUAUCGAGGAAGACACCGGUGGCGAAGCGGCUCUCUGGACCGAGACUGACGCUGAGGCGCGAAAGCGUGGGGAGCAAACACGG